AAAAGAUCCCAUCCGUGGGAGGAGAGAACUAGCCAAUCGUUUCUCCGUUAUGUUUCUCUUGUGCGAUUGACAACUCCCGGGGUGCUGUCACUUGACCCAGGACAGUGGGACCGUCCCAGGAAGCAUUUUAAACUGCAAAGAUGUUCCUGGCCAUGCUGAACUGCCAGUUACAAGAGUAGUCUACCUCUGCCCAGCAGAUUCUGAGGACCUAGCAGAUUCUGAGGACGGGCAACAAGGGAGGACCAACAUUUCCGUCGCUAAGUGAGGCAUUUGUUAGGGGGCUACCUAAUCCUAUCAGAAGAAACCAACGUGAAAAAGAAAAAUAAAUUCUUUAAUAAUUUCUUAUUUAAAAAAAACAUAUAUCAAAACACUUCGUCCUUGAUGGUUGCAGCAUCACAUGACUUUGUGAUCUUCCAAGAUGGCUUCCAACCAAGAAAGUCAGCGCGAGAAUCCAGAUUCACUUAACAGUUGUGUGACUCACUUAAAAACGGCAAUGAUACGCUGAAGGCCUGGGACAAAAAUCACUUUUAACAACUGUUUUGCUAACCAACUGGUCCCCGUUUUGGCCCUGAGUUGAGGAAUAGUUGUAGUUACUCAAGAUUAUUGAGGGGUCUCUGUGGCUCAGACUGCUAAUGCAGUCUGUUAUUAACAGCAGCUGCCUGCAAUUACUGCAGGUUCUAGUCCCACCAGGCCCAAGCUUGACUCAACCUUCCAUCCUUUAUAAGGUAGGUAAAAUGAGGACCCAGGUUGUUGGGGGCAAUAAGUUGACUUUGUAUAUAAAUAUACAAAUAGGAUGAAGACUAUUGCUAACAUAGUGUAAGCCGCCCUGAGUCU